GUCUGUCACCACCUGAGAUGUGCUUUUCACCUUCCACCAUGAUUGUGGGGCCUCCCCAGUCACAUUGAAAUGCAUUUAUGAAGUAGGCACCUGGAAUUGAAUAGACUCCUAAAGGAGAGACAGAAGUUUGAAAGAGCAAGAAGAGUGGAUGUGGAUCCAGACAGAAAAAGAGAACAGCAAAUAUUUGAAAGAGCUUAAGACAUACUCCUCAAGGUUGAAGAACUCACUUUGGCAUUUCUUGUAAGAUGGUUCUGGUGGUACCACAGAUAGAAACCUUGAGAAGCUUACUUUGGUGAGAAAUUUUGCCUUUCUCUGCAGGCUUCUACCAGUUCGAUUCCAUCUGUGGGUCUUAGGUUUCAGUUACCUGCAGUCAAAUGUGGUCCAAUACACAGACUGGAAUAAGAGACAUUGGAGACUCCAAAAGAAUAUUUUCUGGUAGACUGAUACAUUUCUUCUAAAAAAUUUG
rnacentral:lncRNA from 1 species